rnacentral:rRNA from 2 species
UGGGGGAUAUUGCACAAUGGGGGAAACCCUGAUGCAGCAACGCCGCGUGUGGGAAGAAGGUUUUCGGAUUGUAAACCACUGUCCCCAGGGACGAUAAUGACGGUACCUGAGGAGGAAGCUCCGGCUAACUACGUGCCAGCAGCCGCGGUAAUACGUAGGGAGCGAGCGUUGUCCGGAAUUACUGGGUGUAAAGGGUGCGUAGGCGGCUCUGCAAGUCAGUUGUGAAAGCCCGGGGCUUAACUCCGGAAUUGCAAUUGAAACUGUGGAGCUUGAGUGGAGUAGAGGUAGGCGGAAUUCCCGGUGUAGCGGUGAAAUGCGUAGAGAUCGGGAGGAACACCAGUGGCGAAGGCGGCCUACUGGGCUUUAACUGACGCUGAGGCACGAAAGCAUGGGUAGCAAACAGG